rnacentral:rRNA from 1 species
CGUACACUCCUACGGGAGGCAGCAGUGGGGAAUUUUGGACAAUGGGCGAAAGCCUGAUCCAGCCAUGCCGCGUGCAGGAUGAAGGCCUUCGGGUUGUAAACUGCUUUUGUACGGAACGAAACGGCCUUUUCUAAUAAAGAGGGCUAAUGACGGUACCGUAAGAAUAAGCACCGGCUAACUACGUGCCAGCAGCCGCGGUAAUACGUAGGGUGCAAGCGUUAAUCGGAAUUACUGGGCGUAAAGCGUGCGCAGGCGGUUAUGUAAGACAGUUGUGAAAUCCCCGGGCUCAACCUGGGAACUACAUCUGUGACUGCAUAGCUAGAGUACGGUAGAGGGGGAUGAAAUUCCGCGUAUAGCAGUGAAAUGCGUAGAUAUGCGGAGGAACACCGAUGGCGAAGGCAAUCCCCUGAACCUGUACUGACGCUCAUGCACGAAAGCGUGGGGAGCAAACAGGAUUAGAUACCCUUGUAGUCCCA